UGACACAGGGAGGUAGUGACAAGAAAUAACAAUACAGGGCAAUUGUCUUGUAAUUGGAAUGAUGGUGACGUAAAAUCUCACCAGAGUAACAAUUGGAGGGCAAGUCUGGUGCCAGCAGCCGCGGUAAUUCCAGCUCCAAUAGCGUAUAUUAAACUUGUUGCAGUUAAAAAGCUCGUAGUUGAAUUUCUGCGUUGCCCGACUCGGCUACUUGCCUUGUCUGGUUUCGCUUUUGGGGUUUUCCCCUUUUUACUUUGAGAAAAUUAGAGUGUUUCAAGCAGACUUGUGUCUUGAAUACUUCAGCAUGGAAUAAUAAAGUAGGACUUUGGUUCUAUUUUGUUGGUUUGUGAACCUUAGUAAUGGUUAAUAGGAACGGUUGGGGGCAUU
rnacentral:rRNA from 1 species